UUCUAACAUUUCAAUGGAAACACAUCUCUAACAUUCCAAUUGAAACACAUCUCUAACAUUUCAAUGGAAACACACUUCUAACAUUUCAAUGGAAAAACCCUUAUAACAUUUCAAUGGAAAAACCCUUCUAACAUUUCAAUGGAAACACAACUCUAACAUUUCAAUGGAAACACAACUCUAACAUUUCAAUGGAAACACCUUUCAAACAUUCCAAUGGAAACACAUCUCUAACAUUUCUAUGGAAACACACU